rnacentral:lncRNA from 1 species
AUGCUUUGCAGAAACUCUCUCACGCCCACUACCCCCCAAAGUGAAAUGACAUAAUCCCCGAGAUCUGUCAUAAAACAUCAAGUCAGGAAGGUCACACUCUACCAGUUUAGGGGGAAGAAGGGAUUUGUUUACGUGAAUGAUUGCUGAUGGUUUCAACCACAUUGAUCUCUAUAUGAAAUACUACUGUUUGGAUCAAACUACCACCGUAUAUGCAAAAAUUGUAACCCAAAAGGGCGCUAUUUUGCGUUCACCUCCCAGUUGCUUAGAUCUGUUCUUUAAAAUUUACGGGCAUCACAACAUUCCUCUUCUUAGCACUGUUCUUUCUUGGUCAAGUUAAACUCCCAAAGUAUAAUGGUGUGUGGAUACUUCAGAUGAAUACAUGUUGAACAUUUUAACAUGUUUCCAAGUAGUGGGAAUUAUAGCCUAAGGCAAAAUAUUUAUAGGUACAUGCAGUGACUUUCUGGGCCUGAGUUCUUAGGUUUUUUAUGAGAUGAGCUCCAGAUUUUUAGUAUCAGCUCUUUCAUUUGGGGACCAUAUUUGUAUCAUCUGGGGGAAGCGAAGUUCUUACAUUCUGAACUGUGCCCAGCAUUUCUUGGAUAUUUUGGCCUUGGUGUUUAUAUAUUCAAGAGAAGCCCUGUAACUGUCUGGCACAAGGAAUAGAGUACUUUCAAGGGAAAUAAUUCAGACGUUGCAAGAAUAGCUGAACAGAGCCUACAUAGUCUGGUGUUCUCAUUUGUAGGUUUUAUGAUUAUUAACUUUUUGUACAUUCUAUAAGUCUCUCUAUGUUUGGUGGCUCUCAAGUGGCAUUGCAUAUGUCAACUUAAAACCUUGCAACUUUUAUCUAAAGGAUUUUAACAUCUCCAGAACUUUCUUAUUAGCUAUUUUGAAUAUUUUUAUGCUGCUCACUGUUUAGAAUAUGUGACCUUGUAUAAAUUAACGAAUAUUGCUGAUAAAGUAAUAUUUAAGGAGUGCUUACUUGAUGUUAAGCGAUGCUAAGUACUUUGUAUAUUUCAUCACUUAUACUUUUCUCAAUGAUUCUCUGAGCUAGAUCUUAUCAUUACUUCCACUUUAUUUUUGUUAUUUUUUUUAUUGAAGUGCAGUUUAUUUACAAUGUUGUGCCAAUUCCUGCUGUAUAGUAAAGUGACCCAAUCAUACAUAUAUAUUCAUUCUUUUUCUUAUAUUAUCUUCCAUAAUGGUCUCUUCCAAGAGAUUGAAUAUAGUUCCUUAUGCUGUACAAUAGAACCUCAUUGCUUAUGCAUUCUAAAUGUAAUAGUUUGCAUAUACUAACCCCAAACUCCCAGUCUACUCCACUCUCUCUCCCCUCCCCUGAGCAACCACAAGUCUGUUCUCCAUGUCUGUGAGUCUGUUUCUGUUUUGUAGAUAGGUUCAUUUGUGACAUAUUUUAGAUCCCACAUAUAAGUGAUUUCAUAUGGUAUUUGUCUUUCUCUUUCUUAGUUCACUUACAUUACUCCCACUUUAUAGGUAUGGAAAUUGUGGAUUGGAGAAGUGAUAUAAUUUGUCCAAGGCCAUAUACAUUAUAAAUAGUGGAAAUAUGAUUGAACACAUGUCAUCUGACUCUCAGAUCCAAAUGCUUAAGCCCUUACAUUGAUGGAGCAUUAGUACAUGUAUCAAUUCAUGUUAUUUAUCAUGUUAUAUUUUAGAACUGGUUGCAAACAAGUUCAUUCUCAGUUAUAAAUUUUCUUGACUUUUGUCCAAAGAAGCACUGCCUAUUUUAUUUAAAGUUGUUUAUUAAGAUAUCAGUAAAGAAACCCUUUUACAGCCUUGAUUUUAGUUGGGUUUUAUAAUCUAGCUGAGUAGAUAUUAAUUAUUAAAAUUGAAACUAUGUUGCCAGUUCAAGUAUACUAAUGGCACUGCUUUGGGUCUCUUGAUGCUUUUGCCAAAAAGAGAAAUCACAUUAGGAAAAAUUACAUUAGAUCAAGAAAGCUUAACUUUUUCUUGGAAAUAAGCAGCAGGGGUAGAUAGGAGAAUAGAGUUGAAGUACAUAACACCUUGACUCUGAUGUUAGCCCUUACCUUGUUUGGGGGUAGUUUGGCAAGUUUUAAAUGAAAAAUGAGAAUCAAAUUUUGCUUUAGUCUAUGAAAUAGGCUCAGUAACAAGAAGAAUAGCUUUAUACUGAGGUCUUAUGUUAUAGAAUCCCUUUUUCUCACUUAUAUGGUCAUUGUUUCUUAGUAGAUACUUAUUUUUUAAAAUAUAUCAUUUUAACUAACAUAUAAGGACAGCAUGGUCAAUUCACACAUAACUACACAUAAAUUCCUGAAUAUUCACCACAAUAACAGACACCACAUCCACUGUGUUAGUGAAAACUUAUUUAUUGAGACAUUGUCUUAAAGAACAAAAACAUGCCUCUUUAGUAUUUGUUGCAAACGUUUUGAGCAAACUAAAUGCAUAAUAACUUUCUAAAUAAUCUUUUAAAGACUGUAUUUUUAAAUAAAUAUUUUGGAAGUUGGCAUUAUUUAUCUUCCUUACGAGCUUAAAAUUAGAAAACCUUUAUAUUUGUUGUUGAUAACAUCAAAUCAUAGAUUCUUACAUUUUUAACAUGUUUUAAAGGUCAAUAGUCCUUCUUUCUACCAAAAAUAUGCCUUGUGCUUCUUUCAAAAAUAUGUAAUUUAGAGGCAUAAUUUUAUUUUCUAUGCCUAGUUAUAUCCCUAUAAAAUACACUUGAAUUAUUAAAUAGUUUUUAUUUCAUAAUUAUUUCUUUAUAUUAAUUUUGAAAAUAUCAAAAUGAUCUUACCUUGUAACAUCUAAUCAUUCUUUGUAUCAUCCAAUUCCAUAGCUGUCUGGUCAAUUUUCAAACAGUUAUAAGUGCAUAUCAGUGUGACUGUAUCUGAAAGUAAAAAUAAUUAUUGAUGGAGUGAAUACUAUAGACACUGUAAUAAUCCAGGUCUCAACUACUCCUCCGCCUCCUCUAACAGGCAUUCCUAGCUGUUGCACAGAUGGAUCUGUAAGAUGAUACAGAAAGAUUAAAGAAAGGCAUUCAAAUGUCUAGAAAGUAAGAAGGGGAAAAUCCAUAUUUUUAUUCCAGGAGAGCUAAGUAAUAUGGUCCCUAUCUAAAACCAUUAUUGGAAUUUACACGAGUUAGAAUUCAUAGCCACCUAUUGACCUGAACUAGACUCUCCUUAGUGACAUGCAGAUCAGAAUAACAAUAAGAGCAAAGGUCACAGGCCUCUACUGUCGGUUCCAGUGGAGUCUGCACUCACUGGAAUAUACAUGGCCCUUCUCUCUUAAUAUUCAUCGGAAUUGAUAUGGCAUGCUAUGGUUCCCAACACCUUUGGCUGCUAAUGAGUUGACCACAACUCAUCUGGAAGUUAGUAUUUUACAAGCAAUUCUCAAUUACUCAAAUAGAUGGAGGAAAGAUAUCAAAUUUGUUAGAAAUUGUUACAAAACUUUAAACUUCUCACAUCUCCCCUCUCUUUUCCUUCAACUGCUCUCUUUCACUUCCAAGAAUAAUUUGCAGUCAAAUUAGUGAAAUCAAUUCCCAAGGAAUAGGAAGAUAGAUUGGGAAUGAAGUUCAUGAGUCCUAUAUCCCAGUCCUAGUCUCACUACUGAUGCAGUUUUUGGAAAAACACAGCUUUCUUGGGCCUCAGCCUCAGUAUUUACAAAAUAGGUAAAAUUGCUUCCCAUGUAAGUUUCACUGCUAUGUUGGAACAGUAAAUAGUACAUUAGCAAAGAUAUUACAAGUCUAUAAACCAGCUCUUUGAAGGUUGCCACUUUAAAGACUAUUUCAGGGAAAAAAAUAAAUCAAAUAUAUUACUUCAUAUCUUUUAUUAUCAUGCUUUUUUUUGCUUUUUAGGGCCACACCCAUGGCAUGUGGAGGUUCCCAGCUAGGGGUCUAAUUGGAAUUACAGCCACGGCGUAUACCACAGCCACAGCAAUGUCAGAUCUGAGCCAUGUCUGUGACCUACACCAUAGCUCAUAGCAAGGCUGGAUCCUUAACCCACUGAGUGAGGCCAGAGAUUGAACCCGCAACCUCACGGUUCCUAGUCAGAUUUGUUUCUGCUGCACCAUGACAGGAACUCCAUGCAUUUUUGAUGAAUGGGAUUCUCUACAAAUCCAGAGGAAUUAACCAAGAUCAUCUUAACUCUUAUAAUCUGUGGUCUCUAAACUCAGUCUUUCCUGCCUUCCUCUCUGGGAUCUUUCUGAACAGUUUACCCAGGAGGGUACUAUUGCAGAAACAACACUGAUUUGACAUUUAUAAGAUCUGGGUUCUGACACAACCUUAGUCACUAAUUAGCUAUAUGAUCUUUGGUAAGUGUCUCUCUUUCAGUCUCAGUUUCUCCAGUUACAUAAUUUGCCAAUUGGCGUAAAUGUAACUCUGGUAUAUUCAACAUAAUAACUUUUUUUGUUAUUUCUCCCCAUGUAGUUCUUUGGAAAUAUUUGUUUUAUCAAAUUGCAGUAAUUCACUUUCCAAUAUUUUUCAUCAAGGAUUUUUUUUUAAUUGAACAUAUGCUAAAAAACGGUGAAAUACAGCAGGAAAGACCACACACAAAAAAGUUAGUGAUGCAGUAAGAUGAUUGCCAUUUUGGUAAUUCUGUAAACUGCAUGAAGAUAAGAGUUUAAUUUCCAUAAGCCUUUCAGAGUAUUAAUAAUAGAUUCCUGACCCUCUGGAUUGCCUUUAUAGCCUCUUGAAGAGACAAGAGUACCUUAUGUAAACCACCAGACUGGACUAUCUUUAAAAUCUCUUUGGGUCCAAAUAACCCAUGAUUUUAAGUACCAGACUUUAGCCAUCUACCAUGUGUUUUGGUGCUGUGUGUUUGGCUCUAGAAAACCAUCUUUUAUCUUGAGUGACCAGAGGUUGACAUUUGGAUGUUCUGGGCCAGGUUUCAGAAGGCUCCUGUGUUUUUUAGAAUGAUAGACUCAUUCAUCCUUUUAGUGAUAAUAAAAUAUACUGAGGCAGCUGAUGAAAUUAGUUAAAUAAUCAGGGUAGAAAUAAAUACAAACCAAUCCCCAAGAUAUUUUCUCUAAUCACUAUGCCAUCAUUAGAAAAUAUUUCUGAAAAAAUAUAAUUUUAGGGGUACGUUUAAACUGAUGAAGUCUUUAUGGCAAAACAGUAGAGGAAACCAAGCAUUGAGACGUUGCUGCUUACACUGUAAUGUGAACUGCCUUAGCUUUAGUUACCUAUGUUAGAGAAGGGAUCUUUCUUCAGUCCAAGGUCCAGUAUUAUAAUCUCACCCCAUCAGACCUCACCUAUCAUUUGCCUGUGUACUUCAUUCCAUCCUGGAUUCUCAGGACAGACUAAAUACCCUACUGUUCCACAAAAGUGCUAAAGCCUUUCUCACACUGUUUCCUACAUCUGCACAUAAAGGCAUGUCAAAAUUCAAUCCACUAUUUAAAGUCCUACUCAAAAAUUCUCUCUCAUGAAAACUUACUUUUUCUCCAAAAAUAUUAUAUUUUGUACCACAUCAUACCAUGUUUUAAACUCAUAGUUCUUUCUUAUAAUUCUCCUCACUCCUCCUGGUUAUCAUUUCACUUAUAUUGUCUAUGUGUUGCCUCUCUUUCUCCCUCCUACCUGACUCCUUUCUCUGCUAACACAAAAGCUGUAUCAUAUUCAUCUUAUAAGUGUUAUAGUACCUUGUGCUUAUGAGCCACACAAUUAAUGUCUGUUGAAUGACUAAAUGAAUGUCAUUCAACCAGAAGGUUAAGUUAACUGAUGAUGGUUAGAAUGAUUUAGAAAGAAUCACUCCAGAACUGUGUAUGUACUUAUUCAUUCUGAUGAUAAUUAAAGAAGACUUAUCAAUUCUUCUUCCUGAUAAUCCUAUUCCCCACUUAGGUAGUUGUGUUAACAAGAAUUUGCCAGUGAAGCCACAGAGCAAAGUUGAGAGAUUAAGGAAAAAAUGCAUCAGCCUUAACAGCACU